ACGUAGGGGGCGAGCGUUAUUCGGAAUUACUGGGUGUAAAGGGCAUGCAGGCUGCCCUUCAAGUCGCGUGUCAAAGUCCAGUGCUCAACGCUCGGAGAGCACUCGAUACUGAAGGUCUAGAGUACUUGAGAGGUGAGCGGAAUUCCCGGUGUAGUGGUAAAAUGCGUAGAUAUCGGGAGGAACACCAGUGGCGCAGGCGGCUCACUGGCCAAUUACUGACGCUAAGGUGCGAAAGCGUGGGGAGCGAACAG
rnacentral:rRNA from 1 species